GUAAGAAUAAUGAUCCAUUAGA
rnacentral:miRNA from 1 species